ACCAUUUCUCCUUGUCCUGCUGCUAUCUACCCUUUCAAAGAGUUGAUUACACUCAAUCUGUAGCACUGUCUCAGGCAGCUUGACACUGCUGCUGGGUGCACAUCUAGGUUAACAAAUGAUAAUUAAUUCCUCUUAACUGUUUCAACAGCUGGGUUUUCAAAGUACUACUGCAUCUGAGCAGGAGAAUUAGAAUUCUCAUCUUUACUUGUAAUGCAGGUUAUGGUUACAGUCUUUAUUUACAGCAAUUUGUUGUCGUCCCAUGAAAGUACAGUUUGUGCAUUUGGGUAUAUUUGUCACAUUGCAUUUUUCUAUAUUCUUUAAUAUCUUAAUAGGUGAAAAGGCCUAAGAACAACCAUGCUUUUGCAUGGAAAUAAAAGGGAAUCUAAUGGGGCUCUUAAUCCUCUGAUACUCUUGUAAUUGAGAGAAGAACUUGGUCUCACAAUAAUGAAGUGAAUGCCCGUUGUUUUGGCAAAAGUGUGCACAUGUAUUCAUGUUGUGUUUGAAAACUAGCCAGAAAAUUGCUAAGUUUGCCCCAUGUAGACAUGAGGUCAACUGAGUCUCCAAGGAAAGAGAAACUUUUCACUGGAAGAGGAUGGAAGUUGCAGUGUGAACCCUGGCAGUGUAGGCAGUGAAUGAUCGUGCUCCUCUAUAAAAGAGCUGCUUAGAAAUUGUUUUUCUUUGCUCUGCAGAUUGCUAGCAGGUUGCUGAGAAUUUCCACCUUCAACAUUUAUUUCAGUUAGACCAUCAUGAACGCUAUCCCAAAUACCUCCCCAACAGCUGGAUCUGUCAGUAAUGCAUGUCAGACCGUCUUAAAAAGACUUGAACUGAUGAAACAGUUCAAUCCUAAAGGAUCCUGGGACUACCAGUUCCCUUCUGUAAGCCAUACUGUGUGCACGUGUGAAAGGAAAGCUUGAGGAGCAAACUCUCUCUGUGAAAAUAAGCUUAUAGCAGAAGGACUACAAGGCAGUAGGACUGUAAUGGAAGAAAACAAUCCAUGUUCAGGUGGCUCAACUACUGUGAUUCAUGGAAUUUUCACAUUUCAUUUCUCAGUCUCUGUUUCCUCUAGGAGAGAAGAUUGCAGCCAGAUCAUAGCUGUGCUGUAGAUUCAAAUGAAGAGUAAGUGGAAAAUAAUGUUAUCUAGAUGUAACUGAAAAUCCUACAAAUUUCGUUUGGAAUUGCUGCAAGGAUGGGAGACACUCACUGCAAGACAGUAUGAAAUUGCCUGGUUAUUGUAUUGGGGUUGUUGGUUUUUUUAAACAAAUAAACAAAACUUGGGAGCGAAUUAUCACCUUAUCACCUAUUCUUAGUCCAAAAAGGACUUAAAAGCACUGAACCUGGACAAACAGUCCUCAAGUGGAGAUGCAAAAGGGUAUGAGAGACACUGAGGGCUGGAGCCUUCUAUGAGCCCUCAGCACACACCACUACAAAGAGAAAGAUAAGCAGGAAUUUUGACAUUAGCUCACUGUGAUGAAGGUCUUACAUAUGUAAUGGCAGUGGUUCAGAGGGAGAUCUUAAAAUGUGACCAAUAGUUGAUUUAUCCUAAAUUAAAGAGGAUGGCUUUGUCUACAGCAAUCCUAGGGCUAUGCUGGGGACUUGAUGGAAUUUUAGUUGAUGUGCUAUCUUGUCUUCUCUGAUUAAAGAUGUAAACUAGAGAUGCUAAGGUUUCUAACAAAAGACUGAUUCAUUCGACACAUUCAGCUUAUUCCUUUCAUGUCUUUCUCUCAUCUUUUGAACACCAGAGGACAUCAGAGAAAGGACCUGGGAGGAAUGAAAUGUUACUGAUUGUUAUUCCUGAGGUGAUUUAUACCCACUUGGGUGAGGGACAGGACAAGGGCAAAGUUGAGGGAUGGGUUGGCUCUGGGUGCUCCCUAGGUUCAGUCUCUGGCUUUAAUGUUAUGGCCUUGCUACCUUUUCAAGGCAAUGCUUAGUUCUGUUGAAAGUAAGGGAAUUGUAUAUGUCUGGGAACUUGUGGAAAGGUGAAAGGACCCUUGUUGGCUGGUGAGGAUGGACCAGCACUGUGAUUGAGUCUGAAGAAGACAAUGGCUGCUAGGGGCUGCCCUGCAGUGUGAUUGAAUCUUGGGGCAGGCCUGGCCUUCUCACAGCACAGCAGGGCUGGGAACACCAUCAGCAGUUCCCUAGGAGGUCUGACACAGUGCCAUCUCACCGGUUUGCGUAGAGUAGGCAGAUGCUGGCUGUGCUGCUUUAGGAGUUUUCAUUUGUGUGAGCAGGCUCGUCACAAAGAAGCCAUUGCCAAUGCUCUUGGCCCAAAAGGAAGAGAGUGCCCAGACUACAAAUAGGAGUGCAUUCAGCGCCCAUGAGGAUGCCCCCAAAUGCUGGGUUUGUUGAAAGCUAUUCAAUCCACCACAGUGGAUGUGCAGUUUUCUAUGCUCCAGUGCCAUCCCGAAGCCGUGUGUUUCUCCAGGGCUUGGUCCUGCAUUUUGUAAUGCAACUCAGCAGUGUAAAGGGCCUUGACACCUUGUCCCCAGCAAUGGUCAAUCUCAAUUAUCUUCCCUUUCAGUUGGAGCUGUGGCAUGGACAAUCACACAGCAUGGAGCAACGGUCUUCAAGAGUUCAUCUAGUUCACAGCACUUGAAUUAAUGCUCUCUGAAAUGUUCCCUCCAGAUGGAGCAUUCCUACAAGCUUUCUGGAGUGCUGAGAUGGUCCGACAGCAAGCUAUGAGAAAAUGGGAAAGCAGAAAGGUCCCAGCGGUAGAAAUGAGCCAGCUGCUGCUUCUGCUGGAGGGACAGCUCGCCGAGCAGCUUCUUGGACAGCCAGCUGUAAGUCCACAGCACGUGUUGAUCGGUGAGCUCGAGGAGGUGGGUGUUGGCCUUCAGCCUGGUGCGCUGCAGCAGGUGGCCCAGCUCCUGCCUAAGGAAGCCAAACAUCAGCACAUAGUCGUACUGAAUGAGGCAGGGCAGGCACAGGCUGACGAGUGGUUUCCAGGCUGUGCCGGCAUUUUGCAUCCCCGUGUCUAAAGCCUCCUGGACAAAAUUGCUGAAGGAAGAGCUUCUGUGCAUGCUUUGCAGGUAAGCAGCGACCAGCCUCUGGAAAGGAUCCCUGACAAAGAGCACUUUGGUGUAGGACCCUAUCACAGCUUCUAUCGUGCUCAGGUUGAGCCUGCCCAGCUCUGUCUGCAGAGUGUGCUGCUGAGGGUAGGGAAGCAGUGCUGGGAGCGUCCCAUUUUCUUUCUCUUCCAGCUCUUCCAGCAGCUGCUGCCAUCCCUCCACCCCUGUUGCUGGCACCUGGCAGUAGAGGAAAUUCAGCUUGGUGCUCACCCUCACCCUGGAGAGCAGAUGAGCUCUCUCCUCACGGCUUGUCUGGAGCAUGGUGGCUUUGCCUGACCGGCUGCAGAAAGCUCUCAGGCUUUUCUUCCUGAGCUGCUGAACAUGGAGGAAGGUGUCCAGCGUCAGAGUGAAAUCCUCCUCCGCCUUGGGGGCCAUGUCACCUGGGAACACCACACAAACACAGGAGAGAUGAGCUUGCAGAGCAAGUAGAAUCAGAAGUGUUCAGAGAGAUGAAGGAGUCAUGAAUUGGUUUGCAAAUAUAAAUACACGCCCCCCUACAAGCCCUUUUGGAUCUAUUGAGAGUUAAAC